GGAAAGACACUUGGGAGAGGUGCUUUUGGGAAAGUAGUGCAAGCAGUUGCAUUCGGAAUUAAGAAAUCACCCACAUACAAAGUUGUUGCUGUGAAAAUGCUGAAAGAAGGAGCAACAGCAAGUGAAUAUAAAGCACUGAUGACUGAAUUGAAGAUUUUGACACAUAUAGGCCAUCAUCUUAACGUGGUGAAUCUGCUGGGAGCCUGCACAAAGGGCAGAGGACCAUUGAUGGUGAUUGUUGAAUAUUGCAAAUAUGGAAAUUUGUCAGGUUAUUUGAAGAGCAAAAGGGAUUUAUUUUCUAACCACAAG